rnacentral:rRNA from 1 species
UAAUACCUACGGGGGGCAGCAGUGGGGGAUAUUGCACAAUGGGGGGAACCCUGAUGCAGCGACGCCGCGUGGGCGAUGGAGCGCCUCGGCGCGUAAAGCCCUAUCAGCAGGGAAGAAGAUGACGGUACCUGACUAAGAAGCCCCGGCUAAAUACGUGCCAGCAGCCGCGGUAAUACGUAGGGGGCAAGCGUUAUCCGGAUUUACUGGGUGUAAAGGGAGCGCAGACGGCUGUGCAAGUCUGGAGUGAAAGGCGGGGGCCCAACCCCCGGACUGCUCUGGAAACUGUAAAGCUGGAGUGCAGGAGG